GCGCACGCGUGCAGAAGUAUUGCACACCGCUCGGCAUGAUAUGGGCAGUAUUUCUACUGAGGAUAGUGUAGCAUUGUUUAAGAUGCAAACGCGAUUUGUCUUUCUCUAACCAGGUGCGGACGCUAGGUGGCAUCCUGAUCGGCAUGAUCACGAGAGAGACGGGAUUAUCGAGAAAUUUCUACUUAGAUGCGGACCGCUUCAACCUCACCUUUCCUCUCGACUUGGACGUGCACGUGAAGGCAGCGCUACUGGCAUGCACCAUGCUCAUAGACUUCAUGUUCUUCGAGACGACAUGUUAGCGGGGAAAGGAAGGUUCUCGAGUUGGAGCAUUCGCCCUUCGUGUCGGACGCCGAAUUCACGACUCAGCACGUUAUUUUAUUGAUUUCCGACUUAGGCCGAGAGAAAUGAAUAGACUUUUCGACAUCUGUGUGAUUUGUCUUUUCAAAAACUUCGCCUCCGCUCAUUUAUCGUAAUAUCCUGCUUAGUCCCCUGAGACAGUAAAUGUUUCCAGUAGGUGGCGUCAUUAAAGCACUGCGAAUUACACGCACAAAUAUCAUCGUUACUCUCUGCAAAGGAUACUUGGCGCGCUGCGAUGUCUGUCUUACAUUUCUGUUUGUGCUCACAGCGAACAUUCUACGCCAACCUUGGCAUUGCUAACAUUACGUUUUGUGUAUUUAUUACCGUCAGCAAGAUAUUCAAGAAUGCCACAAUCAGUUUGGGCGGAGUGUCCCAGACAGGGCAAAUAAGCGAGUAUGAUCAUUUCCGCUCUGUGCGAGCGUUCAGGCUGCUGAAAGCAUUACCACGACAUUCGUAAUAAAAAUAUGUAGUAUUUCAGAAGACGCGUAUGCGAGCUCAGCGAGCCUCACCCAUUCUUUAGAGUUAAAAUUCGUUAUCGUUAAAAUUUCUUGUACUCGAAACACCAUGCAAAAACUGCGAUAACUGCGACGGCACGUAAUGAGAAUAAAGCAAAUGAAUAUGCG
rnacentral:misc_RNA from 1 species